AUACACAGGUAGCUCAGCAAGGUGUCUGAGAUGACAACACACUAACGAGGUGACCCCCCUCACUCACUGUUUCAGUCACCUCCUUCCCCAAGUGCCCCCACCACAUCCCUAGAUGCAUUGCAGAGCUGUCACCCUGGGAAGGCCAUGACAUCCUUUAAAGCGUGGAGGGAAAUUUCCAAAGUUUAGGACCCCCAGGGAAGAAGAGCUAUAACUCACACCAGGGGAAAACAAUCUGCAGAAGAGAUGGGAGAGUGAUGGUUCAUUACUGAGUGCUAUAUAAACCUCAGCAAAAAAGGAGCCAGGUGGGGUUUCCCUUCAGAAGGGAAACUCCAUGGCUGCACCAGCAUGCCUCAUCUGCUGCAAAACACAGGACAUACCCUAGAGAAACUCCUGGGAGACAUCAGAGAGAGCAGGGCUGUGUCCAGUCCUCCUUGGGCAUUUGAUGGUGAGACAGAUUUUCUGUCUCUUUCCACGAGGUGCAGCUCUACUCAACGGAGCAUGUCCUUUCCCAGGCCUCCAAGAUUAACUUAGUUAGCUGCAGGCUAGUUUUGAGACAUGGGAAAAGUCAAUAUCAAGCAGCGGGGUUUCCACCUCUUGGCAAUCCAUGAAAGCAGUGUACAAUACACUGUACUCCUCUCCCUCACUACGUCCAUGGCCGUUAGACUAUUUUUACUAUCUGGUUCCAAGAACAAAUAGACAUAAAUGUAGUUCUAGGAACUAUAGAGCACAACAACCAAGGGGAUCUGUACUCAUCACUAGCACAGCAGCUGAAAUAGCAGAGAAAGACAGGGACACGGGAAGAAAUGGGAAAGCCCAAGUGAGAAAGAAAAAGCAAAGCAUGAAGGGAAAUGCAAAAUUGGAGUAAAGAGGCACACACAGGAGAGGGAGAGAGCAUUGACCACAACUGAGACAGUCCAUGUUUAUGGGCCAUAUUUAUAUUUAUUUUUGAGCAUGUAUAAGCAAAAAAGUUAGGGCAGAGCAGGAAGACAUUCUCUACCUUACAGCCGAAGACCAUCCUCACAUCCUGCUGCCUCAGGGCAGAGAGUGGGAGUUCAGGUACCAAGGGCUGUUGAGAAACAGUACGCUCCAAGGCCUGGAUGGCUGGCUGCACCACAGCAGCUGUAUGCUCCACCUGUCAUCUUCUGGAGAGCAUGAAGUGCUAGGCAUCCAGAUGCCCCUCUGAUAGGGAGGGUUUGUGCCUCACUGACCUUAAUGCUACUCAGGAAACAGCAAACACCUGCAUGUCUCUAAGCACUGGAGACUAGUAGAGAGGCUGCACUACCUUCCUGUUCAGGUAAGUAUGCUGUAAUUUCAGAGUAUGCUUGUCAGAACCCUUGCUAAUAACUUUAAAUAACUGAGCUUUUUGGUCACAAGAUAAGGAAGUCUGAGUUGAACAACGGCUACUUCAUACAGUGCAACAAGCAAGGAUAUUUCUAGAGAUAAGAAUGAAAGCCCCCCCCCCCCAAAAAAAAGAAGAAAAUGUACUGCUGUUAUCAGGCAGCUGUGAAUCACUAGUUGCCUUCUCUCUCAGGCUAUACUUGCCUCAAAUCCUGCCUGGAAAACUUGGAGAAAUGAGGUCAGUUUUGCUUGUGGGUUUUUGUUGUUGUUGUUGUUGUUGUUGUUGUGGUUGCAUUUGGUUGGUUGAUUCAUUUGGUUGUUGGUUUUUUGGAUGUGAACCCAUAAUUCUUCAAUGCCUUCCUCUAAUCUCCAUGUUGUUGUUUUUGGAAGCUCACAGUGCUAACAGUCUAUUUAUAGUUGACUACUUUUGUAGUUUAUCUCUGCUAUAACACUGUGUCCUUUGUUCUCACUUCAAAAUACAAACCAGAAGGAGUUCUGUACGUCUGGGUUCUCACCUUCUAUUUGAUGAACAUGCUUGAUCAAUAGGAAGAAGGAGAAAGCCACUUCCAUCUGGCUGCUUAACUGGGCAUACACCCUCAUUGUUCGUGCUCCAUCACCUAGCACACUACUCAAAAUCAGCAUUUUGGUACAUAUGAACCUACCAUAGGAUAUUUUAAUUACUUUCAGUUGUUUUAAUGCUUAUUUGCUUUGAAAUGUCAUUACGCUUAGUACAUUAAAUUAUUAUAUU
rnacentral:lncRNA from 7 species